rnacentral:rRNA from 1 species
CCUACGGGAGGCAGCAGUGGGGAAUUUUGGACAAUGGGCGCAAGCCUGAUCCAGCCAUGCCGCGUGUGGGAAGAAGGCCUUCGGGUUGUAAACCACUUUUGUCAGGGAAGAAACGGCCUUUACUAAUAUUAGGGGCUAAUGACGGUACCUGAAGAAUAAGCACCGGCUAACUACGUGCCAGCAGCCGCGGUAAUACGUAGGGUGCAAGCGUUAAUCGGAAUUACCGGGCGUAAAGCGUGCGCAGGCGGCUUUGCAAGACAGAUGUGAAAUCCCCGGGCUCAACCUGGGAACUGCAUUUGUGACUGCAUGGCUAGAGUACGGUAGAGGGGGAUGGAAUUCCGCGUGUAGCAGUGAAAUGCGUAGAUAUGCGGAGGAACACCGAUGGCGAAGGCAAUCCCCUGGACCUGUACUGACGCUCAUGCACGAAAGCGUGGGGAGCAAACAGGAUUAGAUACCCUGGUAGUCCACGCCCUAAACGAUGUCAACUGGUUGUUGGACGGCUUGCUGUUCAGUAACGAGCUAACGCGUGAAGUUGACCGCCUGGGGAGUACGGCCGCAAGGUUGAAACCUUAAAUGAAUUGACGG